rnacentral:rRNA from 1 species
GAUGAACGCUGGCGGCGUGCUUAACACAUGCAAGUCGAACGGGAAUUAUUUUAUUGAAACUUCGGUCGAUUUAAUUUAAUUCUAGUGGCGGACGGGUGAGUAACGCGUGGGUAACCUGCCUUAUACAGGGGGAUAACAGUCAGAAAUGGCUGCUAAUACCGCAUAAGCGCACAGAGCUGCAUGGCUCAGUGUGAAAAACUCCGGUGGUAUAAGAUGGACCCGCGUUGGAUUAGCUGGUUGGUGGGGUAACGGCCCACCAAGGCGACGAUCCAUAGCCGGCCUGAGAGGGUGAACGGCCACAUUGGGACUGAGACACGGCCCAGACUCCUACGGGAGGCAGCAGUGGGGAAUAUUGCACAAUGGGGGAAACCCUGAUGCAGCGACGCCGCGUGAAGGAAGAAGUAUCUCGGUAUGUAAACCUCUAUCAGCAGGGAAGAUAGUGACGGUACCUGACUAAGAAGCCCCGGCUAACUACGUG